rnacentral:misc_RNA from 1 species
AACGCACGAGACCUGCGGACCUGCGGAAGGAUCAUUACAGGACUCGCAAGACUCCUACAACCCUGUGAACUUAACUAUAAGCACGUUGCUUCGGCGGGUGUCUCGGCGAGGGUUCUCCCUCCCCGGGGCGCUAAGCCCGCCGGCAGCCUACUAUACUCUGUCUCUUUGCGUUGGCAUCUCGAGUACAAACAAACAAGUUAAAACUUUUAACAACGGAUCUCUAGAUCGGAAGAGCACACG